rnacentral:siRNA from 1 species
GUUGCAAUGUUGUGAAGUUGUAU